GACGAACCGUGCGAACGUUAUUCGGAAUCAUUGGGCUUAAAGCGCGUGUAGGCGGAUUCGUGCGUCUGUCGCUGAAAUCCCCCGGCUCAACCGGGGAACGGGCGUGGAUACGACGAGUCUGGAGGGGCAUAGGGGGACCUGGAACUUCCGGUGGAGCGGUGAAAUGCGUUGAGAUCGGAAGGAACGCCCGUGGCGAAAGCGAGGUCCUGGAUGCCUACUGGACGCUGAGACGCGAAAAGCCAGGGGAGCGAACGGG
rnacentral:rRNA from 1 species